GACGAACGCUGGCGGCGUGCUUAACACAUGCAAGUCGAACGGAAAGGCCCUGCUUUUGUGGGGUGCUCGAUUGGCGAACGGGUGAGUAACACGUGAGUAACCUGCCCUUGACUUUGGGAUAACUUCAGGAAACUGGGGCUAAUACCUGAUAGGAGCUCCUGCUGCAUGGUGGGGGUUGGAAAGUUUCGGCGGUUGGGGAUGGACUCGCGGCUUAUCAGCUUGUUGGUGGGGUAGUGGCUUACCAAGGCUUUGACGGGUAGCCGGCCUGAGAGGGUGACCGGCCACAUUGGGACUGAGAUACGGCCCAGACUCCUACGGGAGGCAGCAGUGGGGAAUAUUGCACAAUGGGCGGAAGCCUGAUGCAGCAACGCCGCGUGCGGGAUGACGGCCUUCGGGUUGUAAACCGCUUUCGCCUGUGACGAAGCGUGAGUGACGGUAAUGGGUAAAGAAGCACCGGCUAACUACGUG
rnacentral:rRNA from 1 species